rnacentral:ncRNA from 1 species
UCUGUGGAGUGUUAUAUCAAACUGAAGUAGCCUUGGCAAAACAGGACACGAUGAAGCAGAAA